rnacentral:rRNA from 1 species
CGCUGGCGGCGUGCUUAACACAUGCAAGUCGAACGGUGAACCAGAGCUUGCUCUGGGGAUCAGUGGCGAACGGGUGAGUAACACGUGGGCAACCUGCCCCAGACUCUGGGAUAACCUCGGGAAACCGAUGCUAAUACCGGAUACGACCACUUCGGACAUCCGACGGUGGUGGAAAGUUUUCGGUCUGGGAUGGGCCCGCGGCCUAUCAGCUAGUUGGUGGGGUAAUGGCCUACCAAGGCGACGACGGGUAGCCGGCCUGAGAGGGCGACCGGCCACACUGGAACUGAGACACGGUCCAGACUCCACGGGUUUAGGCAGCAGUGGGGAAUAUUGCACAAUGGGCGAAAGCCUGAUGCAGCGACGCCGCGUGAGGGACGACGGCCUUCGGGUUGUAAACCUCUUUCAGCAGGGACGAAGCGAAAGUGACUGUACCUGCAGAAGAAGCACCGGCUAACUACGUG